ensembl:lncRNA
GGCCGCCUCCCUGCCUGCCUCCCGCUCUCCUCCCUCGCUCGCUGCGCGCAGCCCAGCCCGCCUCCCGCCGCCGCUCCGCCGCUCGUGCAGGAAAUGCGCAAAAGACUCACUGGGAAAGGGCUCUUGCGCAAGCUUUGAACUGACUUUACUAUCCGAAGAAGAAUGUCAGGCCAGCUCUUGUGUUCAGGAGGGCAGGUGGGGGAAUUCAAGGCAGUGUGAAGGAAGAGCCCAGCUGCCAGGACGCACUCAAAUGGCAGGAGAGGAGCACUCUGAAACGUGGUGUCUGACAUGGAAGUGUGGAUGGAGCAGAGGUGUGGAAUUGGAUUCCUCCAUGAAGAAAAAAAAUGCACUCAUCAGUGCUUGCUGAACGUUUAUGGAGAGCAAACAGUGGAUGUGAGCACAGUGAGGCAGUGGGUGGUGUGUUUCAGCAGUGGUGACAACAACACUGGGUCACCUCCACUGGUGCAGUGGCAGCGACAUGGAAGGAGCGGGCAAGCUGUAGGCAGCUCGUUACCUUGAGUCAGCCCCUGACCUUUCCAUGGCCCGUGAAUCCUCCGAGCUCUAUGGAGAAACAGCACUAUCUGGUGGAGGGAGUGUGUAAAGUCCUGUCAGCCACGGGCUGGGCUCAUUUGUUAGAGCUACAGUUGCAACUGCUCUAGCUGUGUUCUUGCCCAAAGUUGAUAGUUUCGCCGUGGUUUCCAGAGAUUAUUUUUUUUUCUUUUAACAGUGCGAAUGGCAAGUGAGUAUAUCCAGCUAAGUCUUUGUAAAACUGAUGCUUUCAUCAGUUUCUAUUGCUUACCUGAAGAAUUUUUUCACCCUCUGAGGAAUGUUGGUAUGUUUUCUGGAUUUUUCUAAGCACAGCAAUAUGAAAGAAAGAGAGAAAAAAAUGUUUAGGUUUAAUUUUAAAAGAAAUGUUCUUUAUUGAAGUUAUAUAAAGCAGAUGCAAGUGGAAUAAAAUCAAACUUGUGUGUAAGGAGAAAUUUUCAGAAACAUUUCAUGUCAAAAAAUGAAAUAAAACCCAGAACCCAGGUUAUGAAGUUGUGAAACUUUGGCUCUGAAUUGACUUCUGGAUGUAAACGCAUUCAUAGAACCACAGGAUAUCCCGAGUUGGAAGGGACCCGUGAGAAUCAUUGAGUCCAACUCCUGGAUCAACACAGGAGCACCUAAAAAUCAGACCCUAUGUCUGAAAAGCAUAAUCUAUGUAAAAGCAUGUAUGAAAAGCACCACGUUGGUGAAGAUGUUGGCUAGUAUCAAUAUGUCCACUGAAUUCCACUGAAUUUAAUGGAUAUUCUUAUGCAAGUGAAAUAGUUGAGUGUUAGUGCGAUUGGUCCCUCC